CAACUUUUUCUAACACUCACUUUAAAGCAAAUUGGGAAAAAGUAGCUCGAGAUUUUCUGCUACAACUCAUACUUUUAAAGGUAAAAUGAAGACUGUAUUUACACUAAUCUUUGCUGCACUUCUUCUUUCGACUUGCGUGGAAUCCUACCGAGUCUACCUAUGCAGAAGACUUCCAAAUGGAGAGCAAAGUGAUUGCCAAUUAGUUGAUGGAGAAUACAACCAAGUUAGAGUUCAAAUUCCUAUACCCAUGCAGUAUCAGCAGCAAAUGCCUUACUAUAACAACGCUUAUAGCAACGCAGAGUACUCAAGACGAAGAUAACAUUUCUAGAACAAAAAUGUAUAUUAAUGCAUAACUUGUAUUGUAUAUUCAACUCUGAAGGCUUUCUUUUUUUUGUAAAAUGGCUGAAUAAAACUGCUGAU